UUUUUUUUUUACUAAAAGAAUAAAUUUUAUUUCAGCACUGUAAGUCGUUUCUCAACCGUACAAACACGACCACCAUCUUUACAUCAUCAAGCCUCUCCUCCUGUUCCAGUCUUCCUUUGUGAAAUCACUUCCUCCACAGCCAGACGAAUAUAAAAGGGCUCUCUCCACAACAUUCUGGUGCUUCCAUUUUAGCUAACGAUGACAAAUUAUACCGAUCAUAAUUAUAACAGCAAUAAUAGUAGUGAUGAAGAUGAACCUUUUACUGCACUGUUGUUUUGAGGGGGAGGGGCUUACAGUACAUGAUACAGUACACAUUACUGCUGGUUUACAGUUGAUGUAUUACAUGUGUUACAGUUGCUUCAGAAGGCGUUGGUACAGAUACUCACAGACUCGACACCUGUAUGAUGUUAUAUCAUCAUCAUGUGACCUGAACUGACCGCUCACUCCAUAUCCUCCCUAGCUGCAUCCCAAAUAGCAUCCUAUUCCCUUUCUAGUACACUACUCAUGACCAGGACCCUGCACCACAAGGUCAAAAGUAGUGCACUAUUAUAAGGAAUGGAGUGAAAUUUGGAAUGUAAUCAACUGUCUUUAUUACCUGUAAGCCUAUCUAGUCUGGACCACCAGGCAGUGUAGCCAUACAUGUACUGAAACCUUAUAACACAGUCCUACAGUAACCAAUACAGCUCUGUUCUACUCAUCACAAAACUCCACUCUAUAAGGGGUAAACCAAUCACACGUGCUGUGAUGUCAUCAUAGAAUCGCUCUCAUGAUAGGCCAUUGUAUUUUUCUGGGGACUUCCAACUCUGUGCAAAGUACAGCUUCACUUGAGUCGACCAUGAAAUCUUUAUAAAGGGACGUUAAUAAUACGAGAAUAUACGAACGUAGUGCAGAAACGAUUAUCAUUUAAAAAGCUUUUGACGGGCGAUAUUUAACUGACAUAGUAACAACGACAAGGUGAUCUUUAAAAUGAUUUAUGGCAUAUAAAUCUCUAUGUUUGGCUAAAGCCUCUUAGAACUAACGGUUGCUUUGAUAGAUAGAAGGGGUUAGAAGACAUUAAAAAGAGUAAGAAAAAAAAAAGUGAAGCACAAUUGAAUAAAACAGAUUUUUUUUUGUUGCAGACUCUGGCUAGUUUACAAAGAGAAACUGAUCAUCAAUAAUAACAUCGUUCACAAAGAGAAACCGAUCAUCAAUAAUAACAUAGCCUCUACUGUUAGUGUGGGUGGUUAGGGGCGGGGUCAGAAAACAGCCAAUAGAAAUGGUCCUAGAGGAAACAGAUAAGGGCUGAUACAGUGAUCCAUCCAUCGGACAGACUGCCUGUGUCGGACAGACUGCCUGUGUCGGACAGACUGUUGGUGAAAGGGUGUAAAGACUGUUGGUGAAAGGGUGUAAAGACUGUUGGUGAAAGGGUGUAAAGACUGUUGGUGAAAGGGUGUUGGUGAAAGGGUGUUGGUGAAAGGGUGUUGGUGAAAGGGUGUAAAGACUGUACUCUAUGGGCUGCUUUAAGCGGAACGACCUAAUGAGGGGGACAGAGGGAGGAAGAGAGCGAGAACGGUGAAGACGGGGGUGAAGAGAGAGGUGGGGUUGAAGGGCGAGGGGGGUGAAGAGAGAGGUGGGGUUGAAGGGCGAGGGAGGGGGGUGAAGAGAGAAGGGAUGUUGGUAUAUAGAGGAAUAUUAAAAUAAGCAAUAAAAUCACUGAUCAAUAAAAUCUAAUACAACUAAAUCAGACACGGAUAACAAUGGGAGAGUAAUUAUGUUGUUGUUGACUUUAUCCAUACUAGCUAGUGUCUAACUCAGGGUGUGACAUCAAUGUGUGUGUGUGUGUGUGUGUGUGUGUGAGAGAGUGUGAGUGUGAGUGUGUGAGUGUGAGUGUGUGUGUGUGUGUGUGAGUGUGUGUGUGUGUGUGAGUGUGUGUGUGUGUGUGUGUGAGUGUGUGUGUGUGUGUGUGUGCACGUACUCUUACGAGUGAGUCAAGAGGGAUGUGUGUGUGUCAGACUGCAGCUCGGUACAACUGUAGAGUUAUCAAGUCUCUCUGCUCCACCCACAGACAGUAACUGACGAGGAACAGCAACAUCACUUCAGCACAAACACAGAGAGGGCUGGUAACAACUACUGUGUGUGUGUGUGAGUAAGUAUUCUUACGAGUGAGUCGACAGGGAUGUGCGUAAUUUUGCCAGCUAGCGGAGCGACUUAAGUUAGGCCCACUCCUCCGCCUGGCUGAACAGAAAUAGUCAUGACCUGCAGUGUCCCGUCAUCUUAUUGUGCUACAGUAACGUCAUGUGAAAAGGUUAAAGCAUUAUUCAUGGAGUGCAAAUUCCGUCACAAUAUUGUUUAUAACGUUCGUUUUGAACUGAUGCACGACUGAGCAUUCUACUCAAUGAGCGCCGAUGAAGAUUUCAUCAAAAGUGCAUUACAGUGGCUUGGGAAUACAAUGACACUCAAAAGGAGGCAAAUAAUUAGUAGGAAAACCUUUUGAUGUCGCCAGAUUGACUUUAGAUACAGUAUAACGUUAGCUAGCUAGCUAAGAUUGAGGGGAGGCCACCAGAUAGACUUUAAAUGCAGUGUAACGUUAGCUAGCUAGCCACCAGAUUGACUUUAGAUGCAGUGUAACGUUAGCUAGCUAGCCACCAGAUUGACUUUAAAUGCAGUGUAACGUUAGCUAGCUAGCCACCAGAUUGACUUUAGAUGCAGUGUAACGUUAGCUAGCUAGCCACCAGAUUGACUUUAGAUGCAGUGUAACGUUAGCUAGCUAGCCACCAGAUUGACUUUAGAUGCAGUGUAACGUUAGCUAGCUAGCCACCAGAUUGACUUUAGAUGCAGUGUAACGUUAGCUAGCUAAAAUGGAGGUGAGGCCAUUUUUUUUAUUAGGUUUUUGACAAACUUUGCUAGCUAAUGACAACAUUGCAAUCAAAGUAAAUUUGAAGGCAUGAUAACGCUUGCAAACUUUUUCCUACUAAAUACUUGACUACUUUAGCAAUGUCAUUGUAUUUCCAGAAUUACUUUUUUUUAAUCGCAACUUUAGGGCGCCGCAGAUAGAGGCCUGCUUGAGAACGUUCACAACAAUGGCAUGAUGCGACAUAGUGAGGGAGGUGCAUCCUAUGAAUAUGUACUCUCUGUGUGUGUGUGUGUGUAUAUAUAUAAAAAAUAUAUGAGUCGUAGUCGUUCAGUCAUGCUGGGUAUUAUAUGACCAGUGGGGCUCUUCUCUAGCCAGUCUAGGGGUUCAAAUCUGUCUGCUAGAUAGCCCUGAGACGACUGGAUUAAAAGACUGUUGUUGUUCUCAAUACUUCAUGUGGGAUUAAGAUCCAAAGUCUCGUUUUACAACAACCAUCAGAAGGCAGAGAUGAUUUGCUUGUAAACAGUUCCACAACCCUUGCACGCCAUGGAGUCUUGAGCCGCAGCUUUCCAAAAUCAUUUUGGUUGAAGUGUAUUUAGAUGUUAUGUUUGCUUUGGCAACUUUGGGCUUUGUGGGGCUAUGUAGAUGCUACUAAGGUAGUUGUGGUUGGAACUGGACUAUUUAGCAGACAGAAUGUCACCCUUUCUGUUUGUGUUUUAACUACAGUCCUGUAGAGUUUAGUCCAAUACUGUUACUACUGUCCUACAACUACAGUAACAACACUCCUAACAAUUCUCUGUACGCUUCAGCAAGUCAUAUCAAUAACCAGCCAUCAAUAAGACCCUGGUUUUCAUUUGGUAGUUGUUUGUUGACAAGUUAACGGGCCGUUUGUUGUGUCUCAGUGUAACGGAUCUUAACGGUGGGCUCAGUGAUUUAAAUAUCAACACUGACUGUGUACCCUAUGAGUAUAAGGCUGAAGAUCAACAACAGAGGCAGUCUUGUGGAAUCCUUAGGUUCUUCACAGGAACGAAGAGGAUCAGUCAGAAUGUAGGGAAUAGGGUGCCAUUUCAUCUGGGCAGGGUUUCCUUCAGUUAAACAGUUAAGAUUUUAGACCAGCGUUUCCCCAACUCAGUCACCCCCCCCCUCUCCCGGGUGCACCUUUUGGUUCUGACCCAGCACUACACAGCUGAUUCAAUAACCAACUCAUCGGCAAGCUUUGAUUAUUUGAAUCAG
rnacentral:lncRNA from 1 species